ACAGUUAUUUUUACAUUGGUUAAUUUGUAAAUAAUACUUGUACCAAUUAGUUUUUAGAGAAAAAAAUCGGUAUCUUUUUAACAUGUACAACUUGCUAUUAUUCUUGAUGAAUUAUUCUGAUGAUAUCGCGAGUCGUUCUAUGAUUUUCAGCAAAAAGUAUGUGCGCAUGUCGUGUGCAUGCCCUCACCGAUUGCAUAAAAGCGGUCUCUUUAGUUUGCAAGAUUGCUUCUGUUUUCCUGUUCCUGUUGUCUAACCACUUUUGUAAGCCUGCAACUCUGUGAAGCCUUAAAGGAACCUUCCGUUCGUAUUUACUUACGUGCAAUGACAUCAGCAUCACCAUCAUGGCGAAAGGAUUCAUGUUUCAUGAACACGAGGGUUGAUGUUGGGACUUGCAUACUUCAAGGCAAGCGUCAUUCUGUGACGCAAGCCCUUCAACGUAGAGAAACGGACUAUAUUUAGGAUUUCAGUCAAGAUGAGCAGGUACACGUAAGGAACACCUGAUGACACACUGAAUGGAAGCUCGGGGAAUCUUACCUCACUCGAAAUUGUAUCCAGGGGAGAAUGUUUUGUUUCCACUCGUGUUGUAUGUGACACUGUGAGUAAUGAGAUUGACUAAAAAUAUUUUGAGAUACUGUACAUUUUGUAG